UGUAUAGCUUAAUUUGGUAUAGCUAAUCACUUUUAAUGAUUCUGUUUAAGGUUCAAUUCCUUAUA
rnacentral:tRNA from 1 species